UAUUUUAAUGGCCGCAGUAUUUUGACUGUGCAAAGGUAGCAUAAUCAUUAGUUCAUUAAUUGUGAACUUGUAUGAAUGGUUGGACGAGAUAUUAACUGUCUUUUAUUUAAUUUUAGAAUUUAAAUUUUUAGUUAAAAUGCUUAAAUUUUUUUAUAGGACGAGAAGACCCUAUAGAUCUUUAUUAUAUAUUUAUAUUAAUUGAUUUUUUUAUUUUUUUUUAUUAUUAUUUGUUUUUUUGUUGGGGUGAUAUUUAGAUUAAUUUAACUCUUUUUAUUUUUAUUCAAUUAUAUUUGUUUAUUUGACCUUUUAAUAUUGUUAUAAGAUAUAGAUACCUUAGGGAUAACAGCGUUAUUAUAAUUGAGAGUUCAUAUCGACAUUAUAGAUUGCGACCUCGAUGUUGGAUUAAGAAUAUAUUUAGGUGUAGGUGCUUAAUUAAUAAGUCUGUUCGACUUUUAAAUUCUUACAUGAUCUGAGUC
rnacentral:rRNA from 1 species